GAUAAUUUUUUUUUUCAAAUUCCGUUUUUUUUCUCUCUCUUAUCAAUCUCCAUUUGAAAAGUUGAAGAAUUUUCCAUUUCUAUAUAUCCAUGGCUUUUAAGAACUUCAGCGAUAAAAACAUUGUUUUUUGAAAGCUCAAAUCCAAGCCUGAAAAUAAGAUGUGUUUCGAUUGCAAUGCUAAGAAUCCAACUUGGGCAUCGGUGACGUAUAGGAUCUUCUUGUGUAUUGAUUGCUCCAUUGUCAUCGCAGACUUGACGUUCAUAUCAGUUUUGUUAGCCAAGGGAUGCCGUUUCCGGCGAUGGGUGGGCUGGUGGCUUCGAUUGGACUCAUCAGUUUCGGCAUUUCCCGAUGGAUUUUCGACAGAGGGAAGGUCUAUCCGGCGAAUUUCACCGUGACAAUGACCAACAACGGCAGUAAUUAAUGGUGUUUUACCAGCGAGUAUUAGCCUGGACCAUUCAUGUAUUCAUAAAAUAGAUAUGUCUAUGUUGUAAUAUAAGUAUAAUAUGUAUUCUGUAAAUACAAAGUGCCACUGUUUUGAAAUGUAAAGUAUAUACAUGUCACAGUUUAGAUAUGUUUUUAUGAAUACAUAUUGCUAGAUUUGUAUUUAUGUUAAGUUGUAUUUGUUAUUCAUUAGAUUUUGACUAUGAUAUGUACUUCUUUCUUCUUGA